rnacentral:misc_RNA from 1 species
CUUUAGUCAAAGUGAAAGGAAGAUGUGCAUUGGUGUAGGCAAAGUGAAAGGAAGAUAUGUAUUAUAAAGUUUACAUGGCUUUUACAGUGAACUUUCCAUGGUGAACUUGCAAUACGUACAUGGCUUUACAGUCUUACAUAUAUACCUUUCAUGUGCAGGAAACCAGCAACUAGGCACCAAAAUAAGAUUUCCACAAUUACAAAAGCUAGGGUUCCCCACUUCUUUGAAUGGAGUAUGGCCUGCAUCAGCGAUUCUAUGCCAUCAAUCAAGUUGUUUUCAGGUGAAUGCCAAUAGAAACCUUGAAGGGCUGCUGGGAAAAGUUCACAGGCAGCCAAAGCAUAAAUAAUGAGAGCGUUCAUCCCCAUCCACUGAAAUAUCACCAUGGGCUUUUUGAAAUGCUUGACAUCAACUACAUAAAAAAUAAUGGUUAAAAGCAAGCCUGAUGCUCCUGCUGUGAUGCACAUAUAGCUCAAUGUAUAAAGUGGUUUAGAAAAGGGAAUGCCAAGCAGUUUCAAAACAUAUCCAGUGAUCAGCAAAGAAAAAGAAGAUAUCGACCACAAAAACACCCUCUGCUUGUGGUCCUUAAAAUGAACAAGUAUAUGCCCAAAAUGCAACCCCAAAAAACAUGUGACAACAGCCAUCAAGGAACUUAAGAUGCCCUCAGGAUCAAAUGGAGCAAGGCACCAAGCAGGUGAAUUUGGUGGCAAAGGUCCAUAGUCAGGAGAGUUAACACUACAUUGCUUUGUUCUUCUGUACACUGGCCGCUGAUAUAGAUGAUGUUCACCAAGAAAGAAUCUAUCAACCAGGCCAACUGCAUUACAAGGAGGUUCAAGACUUCCCCUCAGUCCACAAAUCACAGUUUGAGUACCAGAUCCAUAACCAAAGAGAUUCAUUCUUGGAGCUUCAAAUUCCCAAUUUGGAAUAUAAAGGCCAUAUAACAAGCACAAAUACAAUGAACAGAGUAACAAAGAAAACAUCCACUGAACAUAGUAUUUCUUCACAAAAUCCAGAGGUGAGUCUACCAUGAUAUGGUCCACAAGCCAGAUCUCUGACAUUGAAGUGAAAAGAUAUCCAAUCGAUAUCCUCUGUAGUACACCCAGCCAACGUAUCUUGCCCACAUCAACCCCAUAUGUUAAAUG